rnacentral:lncRNA from 1 species
UACAGUCAUACAAUGUACAUUAAACAUUAUAUUGUUAGAUGCAGUCAUAGGCAUUGCAUUUACAGCCCUUAUAAAACGAAACAGUUUGCAUAGAAAGUACUGAUAUAAUUUCUGUAUAAUCCUCUCUGGUUUCAGACCAUUGAUCAGUUUGAGUAUGAUGGAUGUGAUAACUGUGAGUCAUACCUGCAGAUGAAGGGCAACCGGGAGAUGGUUUAUGAAUGCACAAGCUCUUCUUUUGAUGGUGUUAUUGCUAUGAAAAGAAGAACCAAGAUGGCGGCGCGGCCACACGCAGCGGCUUCUCUCUGUCCCGACAGAACGGUGUUUUCGUGUUUUUUGUCUUGUGAGUCGCAGUGUUUUUGCACGUUGUCGUCACGUCUACCUGUCUGUAAGCGCAAAUACAGUCGCGAGUUUCUGCUCGAUGUCGGCAGAACCGCAUUUUUACAGUUAAACUCCGCGCAAGCAGAACAGCUGCGGGAUCUCGAUCUGCUACGGAGGCCUUCACCAUCAUCCGACCCCCACUACUGCAUCUCGCCCGCAGCGGAGGCGCCACAAGCGGCGUGAGAGGAAGCAGAAGGAGGGGGAAGCGGCGGAGGUAUCCGGGCUAGGCUAACGGCUAACCCACACAAGCCAUCUGUCCCCACCAUCGUACUGGCUAACGUACGCUCGUUGGACAAUAAACUGGACUACAUUCGUUACUACGCUCAACUCAGAGGACUGUAAGGCCACAAGCGGCGUGAGAGGAAGCAGAAGAGGGGUAAGCGUGGAGGUAUCCGGGCUAGGCUAACGGCUAACCCACACAAGCCAUCUAUCCCCACCAUCGUACUGGCUACCGUACGCUCUUUGGACAAUAAACUGGACUACAUCCGAUUACUACGUUCAACUCAGAGGACUGUAAGAGACUGUUGUGUUUUUGUAUUCACGGAAACAUGGCUCAGCGACAGCGUUCCGGACUGCGCCAUUCAGCUCGACCAGCUGACGUGCUAUCGAGCAGACAGAGCUCGCGUCGCGGGAGGAAAAACCUGCGGCGGCGGGCUUUGUGUUUACAUCAAUGACGCGUGGUGCCGCGAUGCUGUUGUGAUCUGCAAACACUGCUCACCCCUGGUGGAGUUUAUGAUUAUUAAGUGCCGGCCGUUCUAUCUGCCGAGGGAAUAUACUGCCAUACUGCUCGUUCGGUUUACAAUUCCCCCGAACAACAACAACAGCAACAGGAAUGAUGCACUAAAUGAACUGUCUCCGACUCAGAGCACACCCCGAUGCUUUUCUCAUCAUAGCUGGGGAUUUCAACCAUGCUGACUUAAAGAGUGUGUUUCCAAAAAUACACCAACACAUUAACUUUCCAACAAGAGGUAAUAACAUUUUAGACUUUGUUUACACCACACAGAGAGGAGCUUACAAAGCCCCCCCCGGGUCCUGACAACAUUCAUGGGCGUGUACUGAGAGACUGUGCAGCAGAACUCACUGAUGUCUUCACAGACAUUUUCAACAUCUCACUUAGUCAGGCUGUUGUUCCCACAUGCUUCAAAGCUACCACCAUCAUUCCAGUCCCGAAGAAGCCAUCUCCAUCCUGCUUCAAUGACUACCGUCCUGUUGCACUUACUCCCAUCCUCAUGAAGUGCUUCGAACGGCUAGUCAUGCACCACAUCAAGCCUGCCCUCCCCCCCUCCCUGGACCCCAUUUCCAGUUUGCAUAUCGGUCCAACCGGUCGACCGAUGAUGCCAUCUCAACUACCCUCCACUCAGCACUCACACAUCUAGAGGAAAAAGACUACAUACGUCAGAAUGCUGUUCAUAGACUUCAGUUCAGCAUUCAACACAAUCAUCCCUCAACAGCUCUGUGCAACUGGCUGUUGGACUUUCUGACUGGAAGACCUCAGGCAGUACGUGUCAGCAGCAACACAUCCAGCACCAUCACACUGAACACUGGGGCCC